GCCCGGGUGGCGAAAUCUGGCGAGACGCGGCAGGCUUAAACCCUGCCGGUCCUUCGGGACCAUGUGGGUUCGAAUCCCGCCCCGGGCA
rnacentral:tRNA from 1 species